rnacentral:rRNA from 1 species
CUGACACAGGGAGGUAGUGACAAGAAAUAACAAAGCAAGUCUCUCAGAGGCGCUGCGUUGGAAUGAGUAGAAUUUAAAUCUCUUUACGACCAUCAAUUGGAGGGCAAGUCUGGUGCCAGCAGCCGCGGUAAUUCCAGCUCCAAUAGCGUAUAUUAAAGUUGUUGCGGUUAAAAAGCUCGUAGUUGGAUUUCUGUCUAGGGUGGCCGGUACCCACUAUGUGAAGUAUCUGGUUCAGUCUGGGCAUCCUCUUGGGGAUCGUUCCUGUGCUUGAUUGCAUGGGGCGGAAUUCAAGACUUUUACUUUGAGGAAAUUAGAGUGUUCACGGCAAGCUUUCGCUUUGAAUACAUUAGCAUGGAAUAAUGAUAUAGGGCAUAAGUUCUAUUUUGUUGGUUUCUAGAACAUAUGCAAUGAUUAAUAGGGAUAAUUGGGGGCACUCGUAUUAACGCGUCAGAGGUGGAAUUCUUAGAUUGCGUUACGACGAACUACUGCGAAAGCAUUUGCCAAGGAUGUUUUCAUUGAUCAAGAACGAAAGUAUGGGGAUCGAAGACGAUUAGAUACCGUCGUAGUCUAUACCAUAAACUAUGCCAACUAGAGAUUGGAGGUCGUUUUUUUUAUGACUCCUUCAGCACCUUAUGAGAAAUCAAAGUUUUUGGGUUCCGGGGGGAGUACGGUCGCAAGGCUGAAACUUAAAGGAAUUGACG